rnacentral:rRNA from 1 species
UACGGAGGGUGCGAGCGUUGUCCGGAAUCACUGGGCGUAAAGGGCGCGUAGGCGGCGAGGAUAGUCAACGGUGAAAGCUUGGGGCUCAACCCCGAGUCGGCCGUCGAUACUUCCUUGCUUGAGCACUGUAGAGGCAGAUGGAAUUCCGGGUGUAGCGGUGGAAUGCGUAGAGAUCCGGAAGAACACCGGUGGCGAAGGCGGUCUGCUGGGCAGUUGCUGACACUGAGGCGCGACAGCGUGGGGAGCAAACAGG